rnacentral:tRNA from 1 species
GCUUUCGUGGUGUAACGGUAGCACACUCGGCGCGUAUUCGAGAGGUCCAGGUUCGAGUCCCGGCGAAGGCA